rnacentral:lncRNA from 1 species
AGACUCGAGCAGUCUCUGGAACACGCUGCGGGGCUCCCGGGCCUGAGCCAGGUCUGUUCUCCACGCAGGUGUUCCGCGCGCCCCGUUCAGCCAUGUCGUCCGGCAUCCAUGUAGCGCUGGUGACUGGAGGCAACAAGGGCAUCGGCUUGGCCAUCGUGCGCGACCUGUGCCGGCUGUUCUCGGGGGACGUGGUGCUCACGGCGCGGGACGUGACGCGGGGCCAGGCGGCCGUACAGCAGCUGCAGGCGGAGGGCCUGAGCCCGCGCUUCCACCAGCUGGACAUCGACGAUCUGCAGAGCAUCCGCGCCCUGCGCGACUUCCUGCGCAAGGAGUACGGGGGCCUGGACGUGCUGGUCAACAACGCGGGCAUCGCCUUCAAGGGUAUGGGGAGGGGACGUGGCCUCCCCGAAGAAGAACCGAUGCACUGGGGCUCCUGGCGUCUGCGGGGUCCAUAACGCCUCCCUAGGGAGGAGAGGGAGGAGCUAGGAGAUGCAGGGAGUGCAGAAACCUUGGAGAAAGUGAGAGUUUUCCAGCCAAAGGGAACUUUGUGUUUCCCUGGCUGGGACUCUUGGGGAUCUUUUUCAGGUUUUCUGCAGUUUUUCUGAAUUGAGCUUUAAGGCAACUGGAUGGAUUUUGAACUGAUUUUAAAAUAAACGACAAAUUGCAAAAAGAAAAAA